AGUUCGGAUUGUAGGCUGAAACUCGCCUACAUGAAGCUGGAGUUACUAGUAAUCGCAGAUCAGAAUGCUGCGGUGAAUGCGUUCCCGGGUCUUGUACACACCGCCCGUCACACCACGGGAGUUGGAGCCGCCCGAAGCCGAUUAUCUAACCUUUUGGAAGAAGUCGUCGAAGGUGGAAUCAAUAACUGGGGUGAAGUCGUAACAAGGUAGCCGUAUCGGAAGGUGCGGCUGGAUCACCUCCUUUCUAAGGAGA
rnacentral:rRNA from 1 species